UCCACAAGUUAAGGGAAAAAGCAAUCUCUGCCAAUUUUGGAUUUAUAUGAUGCAUUGAUAAAUCAGGAAAUAGAAGGCCAUGAGGUAAGGUUGCUAAAAAAUCACAAUGAAUCAAAAGUAAUUUACCUCUCCAGGAAGGCUAAAUUGCCAAGAGCACAUGUUUCCUCUAAAGCACCAAAAACCAGAAGGCAUAUUUGUUGACAAGUUGCAGUACUGCCUCAAGAUCUUAGUUCAACUACAAUAUAAAGCAAGCAUUCAGCAGAAGAAAUCAAAAGCUUACUUGUUCCUCGUUUUCAGCAGAAGGGAAUCUCUACUUACUCUGCCUAUGUCAUGAGCACCAAUACCAGAAACUAAACAAUGAAGCUGAAUGAUGUCCAUCACUGAUCCUAUGAAUUAAAACAAUCAAUGCAAUCAGCUAAAUUCAGAAAAACAAUUCAGAAAAACAAUUACAUGACAAUGAAACAUGAAACAUGAAAUAGUAUAAGAACAAUUUUAUUACCAUAAUCCAAGUUUUGGUUAGUUCCCAUUGCAACGGUAACUCUUUUUCCAGGCCCAAGUGCUUGAUCAACCACAACAUUCUGCAUAAAGAACCAUGAAAUAGCCCAAACCAGUUCAUAAGUAAUAUAUCAGUAUCACACUCCUUAGUAUACAAAUUUAAUCUGAACAAGAGAAUAUAUAUAUAUAUAUAUAUAAGUUUUAAGUCAUGUUUGAGCUUUCUGAAUGCAAAAUAGGAAACUACAACUUUGUACAAGAAAAUAAUUCAGAGCAAAUAUGAUCCUUCCCAUUGCCAGCUUUAUAUGAAAAUCUUUUUAGUGCUUGAUACUAUAAAAAAAAUUAUGGCAAUGCCAAUAAUUGAA
rnacentral:lncRNA from 1 species